AUGCCUUCCACCAAUCCCUCCUCCUCCUCAUCCGCCGGCGACAUCAGCGACGCCGCCGCCGCCGCCGCCCUCUCGAGGCCCGCCGCAUAUCGGGUCACCUCGUCCCUCCUUACCCAGGACGCGGUCGAUGCCCUGUGCAGGAAGCACGGCGUGCCGACCGCCUACACCGCGCGCCCCGCUGGCGACCGGCGCGCCUUCACUCCGCCUCCAGAGCGGGCCGUGUGCCUGUACGCGCACGCUCUCGAGGCCGGGGUGCGCCUCCCGCUGCACAGCUUCUUCUCCAAGGUGCUCACCCACUUCAACCUCGCGCCAGGCCAGCUCGUGCAUAGCGGGUGGCGCGUCCUUGUGGGGUUCGUGGUGUUCUGCCGCGAUGCCGGCGUGAAGCCAUCGACGACCGUAUUCCGCUACUUUUUCUCGCUGGUCACAUACAAGUCCGGGUGCUGGUACGGCUUCCGAGCUGACCACGACGACCGCAAGCUCUUCACUGGGUAUUGUCUGGAAUCCGAGGAGACGUGGAAGGGCAGGUUCUUCUUCCUGACAUCGCCGGAGCCAUGGCCCUGCCCCGUGCUUUGGGCCGAGCGGCCGUCGAAGUACAAGUACUCCAGCAGCGUCCCUGAGCGAGUGCUCACAAGCCGGCAAAAGAGAAUGGCGGCAAAGCUACUGGGCGCACGCAGCACCGCGGUUGAUCUCCGGACUUACCUCUCUGAUACCAAACUUGCAGAGGUUUUCUCUUCCAGCAUCGCCUCACCACCGCCCGGACCUGCCCUUCAUUCCACUGGCGGCAAAGGCACGGAUUCGUCCGCGGCGACUGUGAAACCUGAGCCGGACGGCGACGCGCCGACGGUGUCCCUGAAAAAGAGGAAACACGAGGAGGCAGCUAUGGCAAAAGACGACCUUUGCCGUUCUGAGCAGAGCACGCCGCAUGCUGCCCAUGGCUGCUCGGCCUCCGCAUCCGGCUUGGGUGCCCCGCCAGGUUUCGACCCGAAGGCACGGCACCUGCCCGUGCCCGACACACACGACGGCGACAGCGCCGACUGGGAGGCCGCGAAGAAGGUGCUAGAGUGCAUCACCACGCCGUCGCGGGAGCGUGGGUUCGCCGCUGCAACGCCCUCCGACGUCGUCGCGUCGAGCUACUCCGCAAUGCUCCAGGCCGCGAACUACGCGUCAUUCUCCUUCGGCUAUGCACUGGAGCUGGAGAAGAAGCUGGCUGCGCGGGACAAAGAGAAUGCCGCUCUACGAUUGCAGCUGGAGAGCGCCAAGGCCGAGUUGACCGCGGCGAAGCGCGCAGCGGAGGGGAGAUGA
rnacentral:rRNA from 1 species